rnacentral:rRNA from 1 species
CCUACGGGUGGCAGCAGUGAGGAAUAUUGGUCAAUGGACGAGAGUCUGAACCAGCCAAGUAGCGUGAAGGAUGACUGCCCUAUGGUUUGUAAACUUCUUUUAUAUGGGAAUAAAGUUUUCCACGUGUGGGAUUUUGUAUGUACCCUAUGAAUAAGCAUCGGCUAACUCCGUGCCAGCAGCCGCGGUAAUACGGAGGAUCCGAGCGUUAUCCGGAUUUAUUGGGUUUAAAGGGUGCGUAGGUGGUUUGUUAAGUCAGUGGUGAAAGUUUGUGGCUCAACCGUAAAAUUGCAGUUGAAACUGGAAGUCUUGAGUGCAGUAGAGGUAGGCGGAAUGCGUGGUGUAGCGGUGAAAUGCUUAGAUAUCACGAAGAACUCCGAUUGCGAAGGCAGCUCACUGAACCACAACUGACACUGAGGCACGAAAGUGUGGGUAUCAAACAGGAUUAGAUACCCUAGUAGUC